GUGGGGAAUCUUGCGCAAUGGGCGAAAGCCUGACGCAGCCAUGCCGCGUGGAUGAUGAAGGUCUUAGGAUUGUAAAAUCCUUUCACCGGUGAAGAUAAUGACUGUAGCCGGAGAAGAAGCCCCGGCUAACUUCGUGCCAGCAGCCGCGGUAAUACGAAGGGGGCUAGCGUUGCUCGGAUUUACUGGGCGUAAAGGGCGCGUAGGCGGACAUUUAAGUCAGGGGUGAAAUCCCGGGGCUCAACCUCGGAACUGCCUUUGAUACUGGGUGUCUUGAGUACGAGAGAGGUGUGUGGAACUCCGAGUGUAGAGGGGAAAUUCGUAGAUAUUCGGAAGAACACCAGUGGCGAAGGCGACACACUGGCUCAUUACUGACGCUGAGGCGCGAAAGCGUGGGGAGCAAACAGGAUUAGAAACCCCGGUAGUCC
rnacentral:rRNA from 1 species